rnacentral:rRNA from 1 species
UACGGAGGGUGCAAGCGUUAUCCGGAUUCACUGGGUUUAAAGGGUGCGUAGGUGGGUUGGUAAGUCAGUGGUGAAAUCUCCGUGCUUAACAUGGAAACUGCCAUUGAUACUACUGGUCUUGAAUUUUCCGGAGGUAAGCGGAAUAUGUCAUGUAGCGGUGAAAUGCUUAGAUAUGUAUUAGAACACCGAUUGCGAAGGCAGUUCACUAGGCGUGUAUUGACACUGAGGCUCGAAAGCGUGGGGAUCAAACAGG